GAUGAACGCUGGCGGCGUGCCUAAUACAUGCAAGUCGAGCGAACAGACGAGGAGCUUGCUCCUCUGACGUUAGCGGCGGACGGGUGAGUAACACGUGGAUAACCUACCUAUAAGACUGGGAUAACUUCGGGAAACCGGAGCUAAUACCGGAUAAUAUAUUGAACCGCAUGGUUCAAUAGUGAAAGACGGUUUUGCUGUCACUUAUAGAUGGAUCCGCGCCGCAUUAGCUAGUUGGUAAGGUAACGGCUUACCAAGGCAACGAUGCGUAGCCGACCUGAGAGGGUGAUCGGCCACACUGGAACUGAGACACGGUCCAGAAUCCUACGGGAGGCAGCAGUAGGGAAUCUUACGCAAUGGGCGAAAGCCUGACGGAGCAACGCCGCGUGAGUGAUGAAGGUCUUCGGAUCGUAAAACUCUGUUAUUAGGGAAGAACAAAUGUGUAAGUAACUAUGCACGUCUUGACGGUACCUAAUCAGAAAGCCACGGCUAACUACGUG
rnacentral:rRNA from 1 species